rnacentral:rRNA from 1 species
GCUGGCGGCGUGCCUAAUACAUGCAAGUCGAGCGAAUGGAUUAAGAGCUUGCUCUUAUGAAGUUAGCGGCGGACGGGUGAGUAACACGUGGGUAACCUGCCCAUAAGACUGGGAUAACUCCGGGAAACCGGGGCUAAUACCGGAUAACAUUUUGAACCGCAUGGUUCGAAAUUGAAAGGCGGCUUCGGCUGUCACUUAUGGAUGGACCCGCGUCGCAUUAUCUAGUUGGUGAGGUAACGGCUCACCAAGGCAACGAUGCGUAGCCGACCUGAGAGGGUGAUCGGCCACACUGGGACUGACACACGGCCCAGACUCCUACGGGAGGCAGCAGUAGGGAAUCUUCCGCAAUGGACGAAAGUCUGACGGAGCAACGCCGCGUGAGUGAUGAAGGCUUUCGGGUCAUAAAACUCUGUUGUUAGGGAAGAACAAGUGCUAGUUGAAUAAGCUGGCACCUUGACGGUACCUAACCAGAAAGCCACGGCUAACUACGUGCCAGCAGCCGCGGUAAUACGUAGGUGGCAAGCGUUAUCCGGAAUUAUUGGGCGUAAAGCGCGCGCAGGUGGUUUCUUAAGUCUGAUGUGAAAGCCCACGGCUCAACCGUGGAGGGUCAUUGGAAACUGGGAGACUUGAGUGCAGAAGAGGAAAGUGGAAUUCCAUGUGUAGCGGUGAAAUGCGUAGAGAUAUGGAGGAACACCAGUGGCGAANGCGACUUUCUGGUCUGUAACUGACACUGAGGCGCGAAAGCGUGGGGGAGCAAACAGGAUUAGAUACCCUGGUAGUCCACGCCGUANACGAUGAGUGCUAAGUGUUAGAGGGUUUCCGCCCUUUAGUGCUGAAGUUAACGCAUUAAGCACUCCGCCUGGGGAGUACGGCCGCAGGCUGAACUCAAAGGAAUUGACNGGGGCCCGCACACGCGGUGGAGCAUGUGGUUUAUUCGAAGCACGCGANACCUUACCNGUCUUGACAUCCUCUGACACCCUAGANAUAGGGCUUCUCUUCGGAGCAGAGUGACAGUGUGCAUGGUUGUCUCAUCUCUGUCAUG